GUUGCUGAAUUACUUUUGGACAGGUAAGGUUGUUUUGUUGCCUGGGUGAUUGUGUUAUCUUUUAAAAUAGUGGAAGCAAUUCAAGCUAUUUGUCAUAUUAGCCAGAUGUUAACGUUAGCGAUACAUGUCGCAAAGUAUUUCUGUUGUUGGAUUAGCCCGAUGCUACUGUUGAUUCUCUUAGUGCGAGCUAGUUUAGCAGCUACAGUGUGUACAGUAUACAUGUGUGCGUGUUUGAGCGUGUGUGUUGUGUUUGCUUUCAGCAGGGCGGUCAACAGCUGUAAUGUAGGAUAUUUGUGAUUCUUUUUAGCUAUAACUGUGCUCCGUCGACUUCAACGCCGUGGAAGGACUCACUUGUGAGACUACCUAACCCCGCUGUGUCAACUGUUGCUCCCGAGUCACUGUCUGAGAGAGAUGAUAAUUUCUCCGUUGCUGGAGUCCAGGAGUUAGACAUUAGUGGUCCCAUAGAGACAGCUCUUCAGCAAUUGGAUUCAAGUAUGCCGUCCCAGGACCUAAACGUUGAGGUUGGAGCUGAUGAAUUUAAUGACAUUCAGAACUCCAUUAUUGACUGGGAUGAUAGCACCUGGUACCCUGAUAAAGAGUCAGAGUCUUUGUCAUCAUCAGAAGAAGAUGUAACCAGGGAGGUCCACUCUGACGAUGACAGUGAAGAAUCAACCUAUAAGCCUCGUAUUUGUGUGAGGACUGGUGGUGCUCUCAACAGUAAAAUUUGCUUGGAUGCUCUUCCUACAAUCAGCAUGGAAGACGCUGUGCAUGAUGUUUCAGCCAAUAUCCCAGAUCCUACCGACACAGACCUUCACACAUUUCCAGAGUCAUGUAAAGUUAUGGUGGAGGAUGAUAUUAUUGGUCAUCCUGCUUCUAUCACAUAUCAUGACAGCCUGAAGCAGCUUGCUGAGUAUCUCUGUCUACCUGUAAACACGUGUCCUGGUAAAGACUCAAAGACCAAGCAAAAGUGCAUGGAAACUGGCCCGUUUGAAAUCAAUAUAAAGUCCAGGGGAACAGCUGCUGUAAUUGAAUGGAAAUGUCCUUUUGGUCAUACAGUGUGGAAAUGGUGUUCCCAGCCCACUUUGAAAUAUGGGAUGCUAGUUGGAGACUUCAUGCUGUCUACUAAUAUACUACUAUCAGGCAACAACUAUGCCAAGAUAUCCCUGUUAUUCAAGUUCAUGAAACUGGGGAUGGUGGAAAGAUCAACAUUCUUCAGGGUUCAGGACUCCUACUGUGUGGACACUAUAAAGGAGUUCUGGAGUGAGAAGAGGGCCGCAAUCAUCACCCA
rnacentral:lncRNA from 1 species